rnacentral:rRNA from 1 species
CUUUUAGAAUAUUCUAAGUAAGCUCUGCCCAAUGAAUUAAUUUCAAUGGCCGCAGUAUACUGACUGUGCAAAGGUAGCAUAAUCAUUUGUCUUUUAAUUAAAGACUAGAAUGAAAGAGUCGACGAGAAAUAACCUUUUUUAUUAAAAGUUUAAAUUGACAUAAAAGUUAAAAGGCUUUUAUAGACCAGAGGGACGAUAAGACCCUAUAAAACUUUACUUUAUUCUUUUAAAUGCUAAGAUAGAUUUUAUUUAGAAAAAGUUGAGCUGGGGCGGCCUGUGUACUAACUAUAUUAAUUAUAAUAUAAAAGAUAAAAUUAAAUAACUCUGUUAAGAACUUAAACAAGUUACUUUAGGGAUAACAGCAUAAUCCCCCAAGAGAGCUCUUAUCGGCCGGGGGGCUUAUGACCUCGAUGUUGAAUUGAAAUAGCUCUU